rnacentral:misc_RNA from 1 species
ACUCAUGACUAUGAAGUCAAAAUGCGUAACGUGUUCAAAUUCCUUGAAAACGGCGACAAGGUAAAAGUGACUCUGCGCUUCCGUGGUCGUGAGAUGGCACACCAGAAUCUGGGCCGUGAGCUGCUGGAACGUGUUGCCGUGGACACCAAGGAAAUCGGCAAGGUCGAGAACAUGCCCAAGAUGGAAGGUCGUCAGAUGAUCAUGAUGAUCGGCCCGCUGCCGCAGAAGUAAGCCCUGCGACAACUGCGUUAUUCGAAACCCCCUCGGAUUGAGGGGGUUUUAUUUUGCGCUUCGGCUUUUGAGCCAGACCCUUGCGUCAUUCACAUCAAA